UACGGAGGGAGCUAGCGUUGUUCGGAUAUACUGGGCGCAAAGCGCACGUAGGCGGCGCAGCAAGUCAGGGGUGAAAUCCCGGAGCUCAACUCCGGAACUGCCUUUGAAACUGCAGUGCUAGAAUCCUGGAGAGGCGAGUGGAAUUCCGAGUGUAGAGGUGAAAUUCGUAGAUAUCGAGAAGAACACCGGUGGCGAAGGCGGCCAUCUGGACGGUGACUGACUCUGAGACGCGAAAGCGUGGGGAGCAAACAGG
rnacentral:rRNA from 1 species